rnacentral:rRNA from 1 species
UACGUAGGGUGCGAGCGUUGUCCGGAAUUAUUGGGCGUAAAGAGCUCGUAGGCGGUGUGUCGCGUCGGCCGUGAAAACCUGCAGCUUAACUGUGGGCUUGCGGUCGAUACGGGCAUCACUGGAGUUCGGCAGGGGAGACUGGAAUUCCUGGUGUAGCGGUGAAAUGCGCAGAUAUCAGGAAGAACACCCGUGGCGAAAGCGGCUCUCUGGAACGGUACUGACGCUGAGACGCGAAAGCGUGGGGAGCGAACAGG